rnacentral:rRNA from 1 species
ACCUUCGGGCCUCGCGCGCUAAGAUUGGCCCAGGUGGGAUUAGCUAGUAGGUGGGGUAACGGCUCACCUAGGCGACGAUCCCUAGCUGGUCUGAGAGGAUGAUCAGCCACACUGGAACUGAGACACGGUCCAGACUCCUACGGGAGGCAGCAGUGGGGAAUAUUGCACAAUGGGGGACACCCUGAUGCAGCCAUGCCGCGUGUGUGAAGAAGGCCUUCGGGUUGUAAAGCACUUUCAGCAGUGAGGAAGAGUUGGUGUUUAAUAGAUGCCAUCUUUGACGUUAGCUGCAGAAGAAGCACCGGCUAACUCCGUGCCAGCAGCCGCGGUAAUACGGAGGGUGCGAGCGUUAAUCGGAAUUACUGGGCGUAAAGCGCAUGCAGGCGGCGUGUUAAGCCAGAUGUGAAAGCCCGGGGCUCAACCUCG